GAGGAGACAAUCAUGAAGGAGGAAGAGCCUCGAGGAAGAAGGAGCAAGAGAAUUAUGUGGAAGUAGGAUCCUGGGGAGAGAGAAUCACUGCUGUGAGGGCUGCUGCAAUAGACAUGGAUGACAUCUGUGGGAGUCAGGAUUCCAUUCUGCUGGAUUACCAGAAGCCUUGAGCAUUGAUGGACUUCCACCGGUCUCUUAAGCUGGGAAUCCAUUUGGUGCAAGGAACUUCUGGGUGAUGAGGCAGCUCUAAUGCCCAGCCUGCCCUGGCCCCUCAGUCACAUGUGGGAGAUGUGGGGUGAUCCUACAGAAACCCUGGGGAUUCCACAUUCCAACAACCCAUUCCCACCACCAAAACCACUCCAAGGUGUUCCUCAAGACACAACAAGAUGCAAAUUCGGAGCAGGAAGCACCAGCACAGCCCUCACUGCCCACCUGCCACAUCAGGGGGACAUCUUUCCCUGGCCACUGCCAGGAAGGAUGGACUCCAAUAAACUGUGGGAGGAAGCUGAAAAUAACAAUGCAGAAAGCUGCAAACAUCUGCAAGGCCAAUGCUUUGCUCCACAAUUCUGCAUUGAUUUCUUGCCUCAAAUAGAUUUCUAGAUGGAGUGCAAUUAAAAUGAGUUACACAAUGCUGGUGAAACAUCACUCAUUUCCGCUUCAGAUUUUAUUUUUGCAUCUUUGCUUUCUAGAUCCUUUUGCGUUUCAAUGCCACGCCUUGGAUCUUAAUUUUUUUUUUUUCUUUCCACUCUUCUUCUGGCCAAAUUGCUCUGCAUCCAUUUUUACC